UGGGGAAUUUUGCACAAUGGACGAAAGUCUGAUGCAGCGACGCCGCGUGAGGGAUGAAGGCCUUCGGGUUGUAAACCUCUUUCGCUUUUGACCAAGCAGCAUUUUGGGUGUUGUGAGGGUAGAGGGUAAAGAAGCGCCGGCUAACUACGUGCCAGCAGCCGCGGUAAUACGUAGGGCGCGAGCGUUGUCCGGAAUUAUUGGGCGUAAAGGGCUUGUAGGUGGCUUGUCGCGUCUGCCGUGAAAUUCCUUGGCUUAACCAGGGGCGUGCGGUGGGUACGGGCAGGCUUGAGUGCGGUAGGGGAGACUGGAAUUCCUGGUGUAGCGGUGGAAUGCACAGAUAUCAGGAAGAACACCGGUGGCGAAGGCGGGUCUCUGGGCCGUUACUGACGCUGAGGAGCGAAAGCGUGGGGAGCGAACAGG
rnacentral:rRNA from 1 species